rnacentral:rRNA from 1 species
UACGAAGGGGGCUAGCGUUGCUCGGAAUCACUGGGCGUAAAGGGUGCGUAGGCGGGGCUUUAAGGCAGGGGUGAAAUCCUGGAGCUCAACUCCAGAACUGCCUUUGAUACUGAGGAUCUUGAGUUCGGGAGAGGUGAGUGGAACUGCGAGUGUAGAGGUGAAAUUCGUAGAUAUUCGCAAGAACCCCAGUGGCGAAGGCGGCUCACUGGCCCGAUACUGACGCUGAGGCACGAAAGCGUGGGGAGCAAACAGG